rnacentral:tmRNA from 1 species
GCGCUUUAAUUCGAACGAGGAAUUGCCUAUAUUUAGCAGGCUAGCUUGCUAGCUAUGGCAAUAAACGGCGCAUUAAUUAGGUAUUGCGGACCCGGGGGCGGUACCCGGCACCUCCACCAACAACGGCCAGUUUGCAACAGCGUUCAUUUUGACACGCGUACUGCGCAAAUAACUGACCUUUGCUGAUGGGGGUGAAAUAGGAUCGACGUGUAUUGAACGGUGUAUUGCUUUUUGCUCAGGAUGGUACCGCUGUGAUGGACCAACAUUGAUAAAUGCAAACGACAACGACGUCGAGUUCGCAGUUGCAGCGUAAGCUGUCAUUGUAAACUAACAUUUAUAAAUUCCUGAGGUUUGACGACUUCAGGUGGGGGUUGGGCCACCUAGCAACAGAACGGCCCACU